CGAAGGAUGCAAGCGUUAUCCGGAUUUAUUGGGUUUAAAGGGAGCGUAGGCGGCCUUAUAAGUUAGUGGUGAAAUCUCCUCGCUUAACGAGGAAAUUGCCAUUGAUACUGUAGGGCUUGAGUACAGUUGCCGUUGGCGGAAUAUGACAUGUAGUGGUGAAAUACAUAGAGAUGUCAUAGAACACCGAUUGCGAAGGCAGCUAACGAAACUGUAACUGACGCUGAGGCUCGAAAGUGCGGGGAUCAAACAGG
rnacentral:rRNA from 1 species